CACGUAGGUGGGUUUGUAAGUCAGAUGUGAAAGCCUUCUGUUCAACGGAAGAAUUGCAUCUGAAACUACAAGUCUUGAGUGUAGGAGGGGAGAAUGGAACUUCUGGUGGAGCGGUGAAAUGCGUAGAUAUCAAAAGGAACGCCGGCGGCGAAAGCGAUUCUCUGGCCUAUUACUGACACUCAGUGUGCGAAAGCUAGGGGAGCAAACGGGAUUAGAUACCCCGGUAGUCCUAGCCGUAAACGAUGGGCACUAAGUAGAGGGGAUUACCGAUGUUCUCUCUGCCGUAGCUAACGCAUUAAGUGCCCCGCCUGGGGAGUACGGCCGCAAGGCUAAAACUCAAAAGAAUUGACGGGGGCUCGCACAAGCGGUGGAGCAUGUGGCUUAAUUCGAUGCAACGCGAAGAACCUUACCGGGGCUUGACAUGGUAGAAGUAGGAACCCGAAAGGGUAACGAACGGUAUCCAGUCCGUGACUAUCACAGGUGUUGCAUGGCUGUCGUCAGCUCGUGUCGUGAGACGUUGGGUUAAGUCCCCUAACGAGCGAAACCCUUGUUUUUAGUUACCAGCGGGUUAUGCCGGGUACUCUAGAAAGACUGCCGUCGUCAAGACGGAGGAAGGUGGGGAUGACGUCAAGUCAUCAUGGCCCUUAUGCCCCGGGCUGCACACGUGCUACAAUGGUCGGUACAAACGGAAGCGAAGCCGAGAGGUGAAGCGAAUCCAAGC
rnacentral:rRNA from 1 species